UCUUCAGUGCCGACAGCAGUGACAUCCUUCUUGUUUGCCUCCCACUUUCAGGAACUGCUCAGACCUGCCAGGACAACGUGUGGUGGGAGCACCUGCUGCUGAAGUUCCUGAACAGGACACUGCAGACCAUUGACGACGAUGCCUGGAGCAGAGAGCUGAUCCUGGAGCUGCAGCUGCAGACAGCCAGCUAUGCCUGCUCCUCCCCGGAGAAGACUUUCCUAUAUAAGGCACUUGGUACCACGCUGGCCUCUUGCCAGGAUGUUGCCUACGUGAAAUCCCAGCUCCAGAAAUUUCUGAAGGACACAGAUUACACGGACGCUUCGGAG